rnacentral:lncRNA from 1 species
AUCCGAGCUUCUACAGUAAGUGGCCUCCUUCCAGAUUUCUGCAAGAAUAGGACUCCAUCCGAACUUCUACAGCGGAUGAAUUUCAGAUGAACUUCUACAACGGAUGGGCUCCAGCAGUCGGAUUUCUAUAGUGACCGACUGUCUCUGAUAUUUUUCAUACCUCUCCAGCCAUCAACCUUCAACAGCACCAAUCAGACUUCAACAGUGCCAACCAGACCCCUC